GACAGAGGGUGCAAACGUUGUUCGGAAUUACUGGGCGUAAAGCGCGUGUAGGCGGUCGUGCAAGUCGGGUGUGAAAGCCCGGGGCUCAACCCCGGAAGUGCAUUCGAUACUGCAUGGCUAGAGUACCGGAGAGGGUGGUGGAACUCUCGGUGUAGAGGUGAAAUUCGUAGAUAUCGAGAAGAACACCGGUGGCGAAGGCGGCCACCUGGACGGAUACUGACGCUGAGGUGCGAAAGCGUGGGGAGCGAACAGG
rnacentral:rRNA from 1 species